rnacentral:rRNA from 1 species
UGAACGCUGGCGGCGGCCUAAACAUGCAAGUCGAACGGUAACAGGAUGUGCUUGCACAUCGCUGACGAGUGGCGGACGGGUGAGUAAUGCUUGGGAACUUGCCUUUGCGAGGGGGAUAACAGUUGGAAACGACUGCUAAUACCGCAUAAUGUCUUCGGACCAAACGGGGCUCCGGCUCCGGCGCAAAGAGAGGCCCAAGUGAGAUUAGCUAGUUGGUAAGGUAACGGCUUACCAAGGCGACGAUCUCUAGCUGUUCUGAGAGGAAGAUCAGCCACACUGGGACUGAGACACGGCCCAGACUCCUACGGGAGGCAGCAGUGGGGAAUAUUGCACAAUGGGGGAAACCCUGAUGCAGCCAUGCCGCGUGUGUGAAGAAGGCCUUCGGGUUGUAAAGCACUUUCAGUUGUGAGGAAAAGUUAGUAGUUAAUACCUGCUAGCCGUGACGUUAACAACAGAAGAAGCACCGGCUAACUCCGUGCCAGCAGCCGCGGUAAUACGGAGGGUGCGAGCGUUAAUCGGAAUUACUGGGCGUAAAGCGCACGCA